rnacentral:rRNA from 18 species
AGAGUAGGGCGGGACACGUGAAAUCCUGUCUGAACAUGGGGGGACCACCCUCCAAGCCUAAAUACUCGUAUGUGACCGAUAGUGAACAAGUACCGUGAGGGAAAGGUGAAAAGCACCCCGAUUAGGGGAGUGAAAUAGUACCUGAAACCGAAUGCUUACAAGCAGUGGGAGCCCCCUUGUGGGGUGACCGCGUACCUCUUGCAUAAUGGGUCAGUGACUUAAUCUAUCUAGCAAGCUUAAGCCGUUAGGUGUAGGCGCAGCGAAAGCGAGUCUGAAUAGGGCGAAUGAGUUAGAUGGAUUAGACCCGAAACCCGGCGAUCUAGGCAUGACCAGGUUGAAGGUGCGGUAACACGCACUGGAGGACCGAACCAUUUAAUGUUGAAAAAUUAUUGGAUGAGUUGUGUUUAGGGGUGAAAGGCCAAUCAAGCCGGGAAAUAGCUGGUUCUCCGCGAAAACUAUUGAGGU